rnacentral:rRNA from 1 species
AGUGAACGCUGGCGGUAGGCCUAACACAUGCAAGUCGAACGGCAGCACAGGAGAGCUUGCUCUCUGGGUGGCGAGUGGCGGACGGGUGAGGAAUACAUCAGAAUCUGCCCAGUCGUGGGGGAUAACGUAGGGAAACUUACGCUAAUACCGCAUACGACCUUCGGGUGAAAGAGGGGGAUCGCAAGACCUCUCGCGAUUGGAUGAGCCGAUGUCGGAUUAGCUAGUUGGCGGGGUAAUGGCCCACCAAGGCGACGAUCCGUAGCUGGUCUGAGAGGAUGAUCAGCCACACUGGAACUGAGACACGGUCCAGACUCCUACGGGAGGCAGCAGUGGGGAAUAUUGGACAAUGGGCGCAAGCCUGAUCCAGCCAUACCGCGUGGGUGAAGAAGGCCUUCGGGUUGUAAAGCCCUUUUGUUGGGAAAGAAAUCUUUCAGGCUAAUACCCUGGGAGGAUGACGGUACCCAAAGAAUAAGCACCGGCUAACUUCGUG